rnacentral:rRNA from 1 species
GUGGGGAAUCUUGCGCAAUGGGCGAAAGCCUGACGCAGCCAUGCCGCGUGAAUGAUGAAGGUCUUAGGAUUGUAAAAUUCUUUCACCGGGGACGAUAAUGACGGUACCCGGAGAAGAAGCUCCGGCUAACUUCGUGCCAGCAGCCGCGGUAAUACGAAGGGGGCUAGCGUUGCUCGGAAUUACUGGGCGUAAAGGGCGCGUAGGCGGACAGCUUAGUCAGAGGUGAAAGCCCAGGGCUCAACCUUGGAAUUGCCUUUGAUACUGGCUGUCUUGAGUUUGGGAGAGGUGAGUGGAACUCCGAGUGUAGAGGUGAAAUUCGUAGAUAGUCGGAAGAACACCAGUGGCGAAGGCGACUCACUGGCCCAAUACUGACGCUGAGGCGCGAAAGCGUGGGGAGCAAACAGGAUUAGAAACCCGUGUAGUCC